rnacentral:rRNA from 1 species
UCAAGCUACAAAGGGCGCAUGGUGAAUGCCUUGGCAUCAGGAGCCGAUGAAGGACGUGAUAAGCUGCGAUAAGCUUCGGGUAGGCGCACAUAGCCUGAGAUCCGAAGAUCUCCGAAUGAGGAAACUCACAUGGGAAACCCCAUGUAUCAUUAAGUGAAUACAUAGCUUAAUGAAGGUAACCCAGGGAACUGAAACAUCUAAGUACCUGGAGGAAGAGAAAGAAAAAUCGAUUUUCUUAGUAGCGGCGAGCGAAAGGGAAAGAGCCCAAACCGGAAACUUGUUUCCGGGGUUGUGGACAUAACAUAAAAGUGGAGGCUAUUGUAACUGAAGAGAACUGGAAAGUUCCACCGUAGAAGGUAAUAGUCCUGUAAGUGAAACGAGAAGACCACGAGUUAUGAUCCAGAGUACCACGAGACACGUGAAACCUUGUGGGAAGCAGGGAGGACCACCUCCCAAGGCUAAAUACUACCUGAUGACCGAUAGUGAAGCAGUACCGUGAGGGAAAGGUGAAAAGAACCCCGGGAGGGGAGUGAAAUAGAACCUGAAACCGUGUGCCUACAACCGCUCAGAGCCCCUUAUGAGGGUGAUGAGGUGCUUUUUGUAGAACGAGCCAACGAGUUACGGUAUGUAGCAAGGUUAAGUACUUAAGGUACGGAGCCGAAGGGAAACCGAGUCUGAAUAGGGCGACUAGUUGCAUGCCGUAGACCCGAAACCGGGUGACCUAUCCAUGGCCAGGUUGAAGCGAGGGUAAAACCUCGUGGAGGACCGAACCACGUUGCUGUUGAAAAAGCAUGGGAUGAGCUGUGGAUAGCGGAGAAAUUCCAAUCGAACCCGGAGAUAGCUGGUUCUCUCCGAAAUAGCUUUAGGGCUAGCGUCGAGUAUGAGUAGUGGAGGUAGAGCACUGAAUGGGCUAGGGGGCAUAGCGCUUACCGAACCUUAUCAAACUCCGAAUGCCACAUACUUUGAGCUCGGCAGUCAGACUACGAAUGAUAAGAUCCGUGGUCAAAAGGGAAACAGCCCAGAUCGUCAGCUAAGGUCCCAAAGUGUAAGUUAAGUGGGAAAGGAUGUGAGAUUUCUAAGACAACUAGGAUGUUGGCUUAGAAGCAGCCAUUCAUUAAAAGAGUGCGUAAUAGCUCACUAGUCGAGAGAUCUUGCGCCGAAAAUGUAACGGGGCUAAACUUACCACCGAAGCUACGGGCUUGAACUUAGUUCAAGCGGUAGGAGAGCGUCGUAACCGGGCUGAAGUCGUACCGUAAGGAGCGGUGGACUGGUUACGAGUGAGAAUGUUGGCAUCAGUAGCGAGAUGUGGGUGAGAAUCCCACAGGCCGAAAACCUAAGGUUUCCUCAGGAAGGUUCGUCCGCUGAGGGUUAGUCGGGACCUAAGCCGAGGCCGAAAGGCGUAGGUGAUGGACAACUGGUUGAUAUUCCAGUACCACUACCAUCGUUAUUAUCGAUGGCGUGACGCAGGAGGAUAGUGUGUGCUAGCUAUUGGAUGCUAGUCUAAGCGUUUAGGCAGUGAGAGUAGGCAAAUCCGCUCUCAUAAUGCUGAGGCGUGAUGGGGAAGGUUCUACGGAACCGAAGUACAUGAUUCCACGCUGCCAAGAAAAGCGUCUAGAGAGAGAAGUAGUGCCCGUACCGCAAACCGACACAGGUAGGUGAGGAGAGAAUCCUAAGGCCGGCGGAAGAAUUACAGUUAAGGAACUCGGCAAAUUGACCCCGUAAGUUCGCGAGAAGGGGUGCCUACGAGAGUAGGCCGCAGAGAAUAGGCCCAAGCAACUGUUUAGCAAAAACACAGGUCUCUGCUAAAGCGUAAGCUGAUGUAUAGGGGCUGACGCCUGCCCGGUGCUGGAAGGUUAAGGGGAACACUUAGCGCAAGCGAAGGUGUGAACUUAAGCCCCAGUAAACGGCGGCCGUAACUAUAACGGUCCUAAGGUAGCGAAAUUCCUUGUCAGGUAAGUUCUGACCCGCACGAAUGGCGUAAUGACUUGGGCACUGUCUCAACUGUAAAUCCGGCGAAGUUGUAGUGCGAGUGAAGAUGCUCGCUACCCGCGAUUGGACGGAAAGACCCCGUAGAGCUUUACUGUAGCUUAGCAUUGAGUUUUGGUAUUGUCUGUACAGGAUAGGUGGGAGACUAGGAAACCAGGGCGUCAGCCUUGGUGGAGUCAACCUUGGGAUACCACCCUGACAGUACUGAAAUUCUAACUGGCGGCCAUGAAUCUGGUCACAGGACAUUGUUAGGUGGGCAGUUUGACUGGGGCGGUCGCCUCCUAAAAAGUAACGGAGGCGCCCAAAGGUUCCCUCAGAACGGUCGGAAAUCGUUCGAAGAGUGCAAAGGCAGAAGGGAGCUUGACUGCGACACCCACAAGUGGAGCAGGGACGAAAGUCGGGCUUAGUGAUCCGGUGGUACCUCGUGGGAGGGCCAUCGCUCAACGGAUAAAAGCUACCUCGGGGAUAACAGGCUGAUCUCCCCCAAGAGUCCACAUCGACGGGGAGGUUUGGCACCUCGAUGUCGGCUCGUCGCAUCCUGGGGCUGAAGUAGGUCCCAAGGGUUGGGCUGUUCGCCCAUUAAAGCGGCACGCGAGCUGGGUUCAGAACGUCGUGAGACAGUUCGGUCCCUAUCCGUCGCGGGCGUAGGAAAUUUGAGAGGAGCUGUCCUUAGUACGAGAGGACCGGGAUGGACUGACCUCUGGUGUACCAGUUGUUCCGCCAGGAGCACAGCUGGGUAGCUAAGUCGGGAAUGGAUAAACGCUGAAAGCAUCUAAGCGUGAAGCCAACCUCAAGAUGAGAUUUCCCAUAGCAUAAGCUAGUAAGAUCCCUUGAAGAACACAAGGUUGAUAGGUCGGGGGUGUAAGCAUGGUAACAUGUUCAGCUGACCGAUACUAAUAGAUCGAGGGCUUGACCAA